UACGAAGGGGGCAAGCGUUGUUCGGAAUUACUGGGCGUAAAGGGCGCGUAGGCGGUGCGCUAAGUCAGAUGUGAAAGCCCUGGGCUCAACCCGGGAAUUGCAUUUGAUACUGGCGCGCUUGAAUCCAGGAGAGGUUGGUGGAAUUCCCAGUGUAGAGGUGAAAUUCGUAGAGAUUGGGAAGAACACCGGUGGCGAAAGCGGCUCACUGGACCACAACUGACGCUGAGGCGCGAAAGCUAGGGGAGCAAACAGG
rnacentral:rRNA from 1 species